rnacentral:rRNA from 1 species
AUUGAACGCUGGCGGCAUGCCUUACACAUGCAAGUCGAACGGCAGCACGGACUUCGGUCUGGUGGCGAGUGGCGAACGGGUGAGUAAUGUAUCGGAACGUACCUUUCAGUGGGGGAUAACGUAGCGAAAGUUACGCUAAUACCGCAUAUUCUGUGAGCAGGAAAGCAGGGGAUCGAAAGACCUUGCGCUGAUUGAGCGGCCGAUAUCAGAUUAGCUAGUUGGUGGGGUAAAGGCCUACCAAGGCGACGAUCUGUAGCGGGUCUGAGAGGAUGAUCUGCCACACUGGAACUGAGACACGGUCCAGACUCCUACGGGAGGCAGCAGUGGGGAAUUUUGGACAAUGGGGGCAACCCUGAUCAAGCCAUGCCGCGUGAGUGAAGAAGGCCUUCGGGUUGUAAAGCUCUUUCGGCAGGGAAGAAAACGCAUAGGCUAAUACCCUGUGUGGAUGACGGUACCGGAAUAAGAAGCACCGGCUAACUACGUG